rnacentral:pre_miRNA from 1 species
AAUAAAAGCAUGAAAAAUCAGAUUUUUUCUCAUGUUUUUCAGCUUUUUCCUCAUGAAAAAUUCAAAUCCAACUAAAAAUGCUAAAAAUCAAGAGGAAAAAUCUAAUUUGUCAUACUUCUAUC